AAAUUGAAGAGUUUGAUCAUGGCUCAGAUUGAACGCUGGCGGCAGGCCUAACACAUGCAAGUCGAACGGUAACAGGAAACAGCUUGCUGUUUCGCUGACGAGUGGCGGACGGGUGAGUAAUGUCUGGGAAACUGCCUGAUGGAGGGGGAUAACUACUGGAAACGGUAGCUAAUACCGCAUAACGUCGCAAGACCAAAGAGGGGGACCUUCGGGCCUCUUGCCAUCGGAUGUGCCCAGAUGGGAUUAGCUAGUAGGUGGGGUAACGGCUCACCUAGGCGACGAUCCCUAGCUGGUCUGAGAGGAUGACCAGCCACACUGGAACUGAGACACGGUCCAGACUCCUACGGGAGGCAGCAGUGGGGAAUAUUGCACAAUGGGCGCAAGCCUGAUGCAGCCAUGCCGCGUGUAUGAAGAAGGCCUUCGGGUUGUAAAGUACUUUCAGCGGGGAGGAAGGGAGUAAAGUUAAUACCUUUGCUCAUUGACGUUACCCGCAGAAGAAGCACCGGCUAACUCCGUGCCAGCAGCCGCGGUAAUACGGAGGGUGCAAGCGUUAAUCGGAAUUACUGGGCGUAAAGCGCACGCAGGCGGUUUGUUAAGUCAGAUGUGAAAUCCCCGGGCUCAACCUGGGAACUGCAUCUGAUACUGGCAAGCUUGAGUCUCGUAGAGGGGGGUAGAAUUCCAGGUGUAGCGGUGAAAUGCGUAGAGAUCUGGAGGAAUACCGGUGGCGAAGGCGGCCCCCUGGACGAAGACUGACGCUCAGGUGCGAAAGCGUGGGGAGCAAACAGGAUUAGAUACCCUGGUAGUCCACGCCGUAAACGAUGUCGACUUGGAGGUUGUGCCCUUGAGGCGUGGCUUCCGGAGCUAACGCGUUAAGUCGACCGCCUGGGGAGUACGGCCGCAAGGUUAAAACUCAAAUGAAUUGACGGGGGCCCGCACAAGCGGUGGAGCAUGUGGUUUAAUUCGAUGCAACGCGAAGAACCUUACCUGGUCUUGACAUCCACAGAACUUUCCAGAGAUGGAUUGGUGCCUUCGGGAACUGUGAGACAGGUGCUGCAUGGCUGUCGUCAGCUCGUGUUGUGAAAUGUUGGGUUAAGUCCCGCAACGAGCGCAACCCUUAUCCUUUGUUGCCAGCGGUCCGGCCGGGAACUCAAAGGAGACUGCCAGUGAUAAACUGGAGGAAGGUGGGGAUGACGUCAAGUCAUCAUGGCCCUUACGACCAGGGCUACACACGUGCUACAAUGGCGCAUACAAAGAGAAGCGAUCUCGCGAGAGCAAGCGGACCUCAUAAAGUGCGUCGUAGUCCGGAUUGGAGUCUGCAACUCGACUCCAUGAAGUCGGAAUCGCUAGUAAUCGUGGAUCAGAAUGCCACGGUGAAUACGUUCCCGGGCCUUGUACACACCGCCCGUCACACCAUGGGAGUGGGUUGCAAAAGAAGUAGGUAGCUUAACCUUCGGGAGGGCGCUUACCACUUUGUGAUUCAUGACUGGGGUGAAGUCGUAACAAGGUAACCGUAGGGGAACCUGCGGUUGGAUCACCUCCUUACCUUAAAGAAGC
rnacentral:rRNA from 1 species